rnacentral:rRNA from 1 species
GACGAACGCUGGCGGCGUGCCUAAUACAUGCAAGUCGAACGCAGUGGGGACGGGUGAGUAACACCUGGGUAACCUCCCAUCAGAGGGGAUAACCCUUGGAAACAGGUGCUAAACCCAUACUGAUGGAUGGACCCGCGGUGCAUUUGCUAGUUGGUGAGGUAACGGCUCAUCAAGGCCACGAUGCAUAGCGGAUCUGAGAGGGUGAUCGGCCACACUGGAACGGAGACACGGUCCAGACUCCUACGGGAGGCAGCAGUGGGGAAUCGUCGGCAAUGGACGAAAGUCUGACCGAGCAACGCCGCGUGAGUGAAGAAGGUUUUCGGAUCGUAAAACUCUGUUGUUAGAGAAGCGGUAUCUAACCAGAAAGCCACGGCUAACUACGUGCCAGCAGCCGCGGUAAUAC